UACGGGGGGAGCAAACGUUGUUCGGAAUCACUGGGCGUAAGGACGGCGUAGAGCGGCUGGAUAAGUGGGAUGUUAAAUCCCCCGGCUCAACCGGGGACCUGCAUCUCAUACUGUUCAGCUCGAGCACAUCAGAGGAGACUGGAAUUCCCGGUGUAGCGGUGAAAUGCGUAGAUAUCCGGAGGAACACCGGUGGCGAAGGCGGCUUCCUGGACCGACACUGACGCUGAGGCGCGAAAGCUAGGGAGCAAACAGG
rnacentral:rRNA from 1 species